rnacentral:rRNA from 1 species
UGGAAACUGGGGAACUUGAGUGCCCCUGAGGAGAGUGGAAUUCCACGUGUAGCGGUGAAAUGCGUAGAGAUGUGGAGGAACACCAAUGGCGAAGGCGACUCUCUGGUCUGUGACUGACGCUGAGGCGCGAAAGCGUGGGGAGCGAACAGGAUUACAUACCCUGGUAGUCCACUCCGUAAACCAUGAAUGCUAAGUGUUAAAGGGUUUCCCCCCUUUACUGCUGCACCGAACGCAUUAAGCACUCCGCCUGGGGAGUACGGGCGCAAGACUGAAACUCAAAUGAAUUGACGGGGGCCC